rnacentral:rRNA from 1 species
AACGAACGCUGGCGGCAUGCCUAACACAUGCAAGUCGAACGAGACCUUCGGGUCUAGUGGCGCACGGGUGCGUAACGCGUGGGAACCUGCCCUUAGGUUCGGAAUAACUCCCCGAAAGGGGUGCUAAUACCGGAUAAUGUCUUCGGACCAAAGAUUUAUCGCCUUUGGAUGGGCCCGCGUUGGAUUAGCUAGUUGGUAGGGUAAAAGCCUACAAAGGCGACGAUCCAUAGCUGGUCUGAGAGGAUGAUCAGCCACACUGGGACUGAGACACGGCCCAGACUCCUACGGGAGGCAGCAGUAGGGAAUAUUGGACAAUGGGCGAAAGCCUGAUCCAGCAAUGCCGCGUGAGUGAUGAAGGCCUUAGGGUUGUAAAGCUCUUUUACCCGGGAUGAUAAUGACAGUACCGGGAGAAUAAGCUCCGGCUAACUCCGUG